UACAGAGGGGGCUAGCGUUGUUCGGAAUCACUGGGUGUAAAGGGUGCGUAGGCGGUGUGUCGCGUCGGUCGUGAAAACUUGGGGCUUAACCCUGAGCUUGCGGUCGAUACGGGCAUCACUGGAGUUCGGCAGGGGAGACUGGAAUUCCUGGUGUAGCGGUGAAAUGCGCAGAUAUCAGGAGGAACACCGGUGGCGAAGGCGGUUCUCUGGGACGGUACUGACGCUGAGACGCGAAAGCGUGGGGAGCGAACAGG
rnacentral:rRNA from 1 species